rnacentral:rRNA from 1 species
UACGUAGGGUGCGAGCGUUAUUCGGAUUUACUGGGCGUAAAGCGUGCGUAGGCGGUUUUUUAAGUUAGAUGUUAAAUAUAUGGGCUCAACUCAUAUGCCGCAUCUAAUACUGGAAAACUCGAGGAUGGAAGAGGCAGAUGGAAUUUCUGGUGGAGCGGUAAAAUGCGUAGAUAUCAGAAGGAACACCAAUGGCGAAGGCAGUCUGCUGGGCCAUUUCUGACGCUAAGGCACGAAAGCGUGGGGAGCGAUCGGG